GUGGGGAAUAUUGGACAAUGGGGGGAACCCUGAUCCAGCCAUGCCGCGUGUGUGAAGAAGGCCUUUUGGUUGUAAAGCACUUUAAGCGAGGAGGAGGCUACCGAGAUUAAUACUCUUGGAUAGUGGACGUUACUCGCAGAAUAAGCACCGGCUAACUCUGUGCCAGCAGCCGCGGUAAUACAGAGGGUGCAAGCGUUAAUCGGAUUUACUGGGCGUAAAGCGAGCGUAGGUGGCAAAUUAAGUCAAAUGUGAAAUCCCCGAGCUUAACUUGGGAAUUGCAUUCGAUACUGGUUGGCUAGAGUAUGGGAGAGGAUGGUAGAAUUCCAGGUGUAGCGGUGAAAUGCGUAGAGAUCUGGAGGAAUACCGAUGGCGAAGGCAGCCAUCUGGCCUAAUACUGACACUGAGGUGCGAAAGCAUGGGGAGCAAACAGGAUUAGAAACCCGGGUAGUCC
rnacentral:rRNA from 1 species